GACGAACGCUGGCGGCGUGCUUAACACAUGCAAGUCGAACGGAAAGGCCCUGCUUUUGUGGGGUGCUCGAGUGGCGAACGGGUGAGUAACACGUGAGUAACCUGCCCUUGACUUUGGGAUAACUUCAGGAAACUGGGGCUAAUACCGGAUAGGAGCUCCUGCUGCAUGGUGGGGGUUGGAAAGUUUCGGCGGUUGGGGAUGGACUCGCGGCUUAUCAGCUUGUUGGUGGGGUAGUGGCUUACCAAGGCUUUGACGGGUAGCCGGCCUGAGAGGGUGACCGGCCACAUUGGGACUGAGAUACGGCCCAGACUCCUACGGGAGGCAGCAGGGGGGAAUAUUGCACAAUGGGCGGAAGCCUGAUGCAGCAACGCCGCGUGCGGGAUGACGGCCUUCGGGUUGUAAACCGCUUUCGCCUGUGACGAAGCGUGAGUGACGGUAAUGGGUAAAGAAGCACCGGCUAACUACGUGCCAGCAGCCGCGGUGAUACGUAGGGUGCGAGCGUUGUCCGGAUUUAUUGGGCGUAAAGGGCUCGUAGGUGGUUGAUCGCGUCGGAAGUGUAAUCUUGGGGCUUAACCCUGAGCGUGCUUUCGAUACGGGUUGACUUGGGGAAGGUAGGGGAGAAUGGAAUUCCUGGUGGAGCGGUGGAAUGCGCAGAUAUCAGGAGGAACACCAGUGGCGAAGGCGGUUCUCUGGGCCUUUCCUGACGCUGAGGAGCGAAAGCGUGGGGAGCGAACAGGCUUAGAUACCCUGGUAGUCCACGCUGUAAACGGUGGGUACUAGGUGUGGGGUCCAUUCCACGGGUUCCGUGCCGUAGCUAGCGCUUUAAGUACCCCGCCUGGGGAGUACGACCGCAAGGCUAAAACUCAAAGGAAUUGACGGGGCCCCGCACAAGCGGCGGAGCAUGCGGAUUAAUUCGAUGCAACGCGUAGAACCUUACCUGGGUUUGACAUGGAUCGGGAGUGCUCAGAGAUGGGUGUGCCUCUUUUGGGGUCGGUUCACAGGUGGUGCAUGGCUGUCGUCAGCUCGUGUCGUGAGAUGUUGGGUUAAGUCCCGCAACGAGCGCAACCCUUGUUCACUGUUGCCAGCACGUUAUGGUGGGGACUCAGUGGAGACCGCCGGGGUCAACUCGGAGGAAGGUGGGGAUGACGUCAAGUCAUCAUGCCCCUUAUGUCCAGGGCUUCACGCAUGCUACAAUGGCUGGUACAGAGAGUGGCGAGCCUGUGAGGGUGAGCGAAUCUCGGAAAGCCGGUCUCAGUUCGGAUUGGGGUCUGCAACUCGACCUCAUGAAGUCGGAGUCGCUAGUAAUCGCAGAUCAGCAACGCUGCGGUGAAUACGUUCCCGGGGCU
rnacentral:rRNA from 1 species